GGGCUCCCCGCGCGGUGACCGUCGAGGUGACCUGCACCUGGCUCCAUGGCGGAACCGGCCGGCACGGAUUAUUCCCCUCUCGGGAGAGGUCUGCAGCCGGGCCUCAGUGCUUCAGUUCGUGGCCUGGCAUUUUGUGAAGAGUGUCUUCAUCUCUGCAUCCCUAGUGCAACAGAGCAUGACAAAAAUUCAACAAAUAUUUAUUGAAGAGUCUUGAUGUCUUUUGGGAAAGGAACUCUAUGGUUACCUUUACUCUAAGGCAUUGUGAAGACCCUGUUUCUCUAGCUGUGCAGCUGCAAGGUCACUAGGCAGAUAAACUCAAGCCAUAAAACAUGUUUUUCCUUGAAAAAUUAGAUGGGUGUUACUGAUUCUUACCUCAGAGAAGAGAAUGUCAUGGAGACAAAAUGACCUGCUUAGAGUUCUGCACCCCCCAGCAUGGAGAGCAGAGCGCAAAGAUUUCUUCCGGACUCCCACAUUCCCCUUGGAAUCCAAGAACUGGUCUACUGUCACAACACUUUAGUACCCUCUUAGAUGGGGAUCUCACUCUGUUGCCCAGGCUGGUCUCAAACUCCUGGCUUCAAGCAAUCCUCCUGCUUCGGCCUCCCAAACUUCUGGGAUUACAGAUAUGAGCCACCACGGCUGGCUGACAGGCACCAAAUUCUAGGAGAGGACUUGAAUAGACUCCCAAGGAGGCAGCAGAAACUGGGGUAAUCACAACGGUCAACAGCAGCAAAGGCAGCACUUUCUG
rnacentral:lncRNA from 10 species